AUUGAACGCUGGCGGCAUGCCUUACACAUGCAAGUCGAACGGCAGCACGGGUGCUUGCCCCUGGUGGCGAGUGGCGAACGGGUGAGUAAUACAUCGGAACAUGUCCUGUAGUGGGGGAUAGCCCGGCGAAAGCCGGAUAAAUACCGCAUACGAUCUACGGAUGAAAGCGGGGGACCUUCGGGCCUCGCGCUAUAGGGUUGGCCGAUGGCUGAUUAGCUAGUUGGUGGGGUAAAGGCCUACCAAGGCGACGAUCAGUAGCUGGUCUGAGAGGACGACCAGCCACACUGGGACUGAGACACGGCCCAGACUCCUACGGGAGGCAGCAGUGGGGAAUUUUGGACAAUGGGCGAAAGCCUGAUCCAGCAAUGCCGCGUGUGUGAAGAAGGCCUUCGGGUUGUAAAGCACUUUUGUCCGGAAAGAAAUCCUUGGCCCUAAUACGGUCGGGGGAUGACGGUACCGGAAGAAUAAGCACCGGCUAACUACGUG
rnacentral:rRNA from 1 species